GACGAACCGAGCGAACGUUGUUCGGAAUCACUGGGCUUAAAGGGCGCGUAGGCGGGUGCUCAAGUCUGUGGUGAAAUCCUCCGGCUCAACCGGAGAACUGCCAUGGAUACUGGGUGUCUCGAGGGUGAUAGGGGUAUGCGGAACUAUCGGUGGAGCGGUGAAAUGCGUUGAUAUCGAUAGGAACUCCGGUGGCGAAGGCGGCAUACUGGACCACUUCUGACGCUGAGGCGCGAAAGCGUGGGGAGCGAACAGG
rnacentral:rRNA from 1 species